UAAUUGAAGAGUUUGAUCAUGGCUCAGAUUGAACGCUGGCGGCAGGCUUAACACAUGCAAGUCGAGCGGUAGCACAGGGGAGCUUGCUCCCCGGGUGACGAGCGGCGGACGGGUGAGUAAUGUCUGGGAAACUGCCUGAUGGAGGGGGAUAACUACUGGAAACGGUAGCUAAUACCGCAUAAUGUCGCAAGACCAAAGAGGGGGACCUUCGGGCCUCUU
rnacentral:rRNA from 1 species